AUGCUUUUGAGACACCUCCCAAGCGUCGCAAGACUAUAAUGGAUAUUGAUGAGGACGUUCGCAGACUAGACAGAAUUAUCAUAGACCUGCAGUCCUCGAUUAAUUCCCUCACUAGGCAGCUCUCUAACCACAACACCAUUAUACUAGGCCUUAGGCAGGAUCUUGCCAGUGCCAACAAGAAGAUUAAGGAAUUAGAGCGCCGCUAAGUUAUCUAGAUUAGACCUUGAGGCAAUGCAUCUUAGUCAUUUAUCUUUAAAUUCGGUUUAGGUUUACUAUUAUCAGUUUGCUAUCAGUCUUUUGUAAUAAAUGCCUCAAGAUCAAUAAAGAGUAUUAUUAUUAUUAUGUCUUGUGUGUCUCUACUUUAUUUUUGUGCAAGAAAGCAGAAAACAAGUAUGGGGGAGAUCCCUCGACAUGCCAAACACACUCCGACUACACCACUCCACGAUUCAGGUACACACUUUACACAUACAUAUAUUUUGGAUUAUGCAGAUUAUUGUUUCCGACAUGAUAAAAUAAAAAGAUUAAAAUAUUUCUAAUCAUGAUUAAUCUCAAUCUGUGAUAUUUCCUGAAAACUUACAAUUAUUGAAAAUUUUUUUAAAUCCCUGUGUCACUUAAGUCAAUAUGGAAUAUGUGAUGGUAGAGUAUGAGUUUCUUAUUCUUGAUAUCAUUGUUGCUUGGAGAAUUUAUUUCAAAAUAUUCAAAAUUAUAGCUACCAUCCUCAGGGUUUUAUGCCUGAUAAGACUGAAAAUAUUAAUUAUAAUUAUAAAAACUAUCUACUCUGUAUUGAAUUUGUUCAAAAUGAGUUAGACCCUUGUUGAGAGAUUUAUCAUGCUCCUAAGAUCAAGACAUUAUUCCAGAAAGAUUCACUCUUCCGAAGUAUUAUUGCAUUAGAGGCAUGGGCUAUGCAAAAAUAAAGAUAUUUCGAGGAAAUAAAAAGGAGCAAGUGCUCGACAACCUCGCAGAAAAAAAUGGACAAGUGUCUGGCAGUAGAAUUAGGGGUACCUCGGUAUCCACUUAAAAAAAAGAGAGAAAAGAGAAAAAAAAUGAUAGCCCAUGGUCUCUCUAAUAAGCAAUAUGCCAGCAAGAGUUGACAAAGAUUUCCAAAGUCUUUGAUCUAAGAGUAUGACAUUCCCCUCCUCGGAUCCCGUUUUGAUCAGGCAAUAAAUGCAAAGUAAGUAUGCUUGAGAAUUUUUUGCAAAAUAAAACAACUUCAGUGAGACAUAUAUCUAUACCUAUCUAUAAAGAGGGAAAAUUUCAGUCUGCCCACCAAAAUCUUUUGCCCAAUGUGUCCGUGUCGAGGUCACUCUCCCAUCAUGUCCGGAAUCCUACCUGCGCUGGCCCCACGUGAACCGGCACCUCAAGUUGAUGCAGCCACGGCGGGCACUCGGGGUCACGGGAUAGCACAAAGAGGCCGCGCAUGGGUCCCUCGUCAUCGGAGUCAGGGGGCACAGUGGGGGAGGAGCGCUUGCCGCGUCGGGUGGAGAGGGCGCAAAGGCAAGGGUUGUCGUGGAGGCGGAGGCGAGCACCGAGGCGAGAGAUGGCGCCGCAGAGCAUCGCAGGCUCGUAGGCGGGCGGCAGGCGGCGGCGUCAGGACUCAGGAGCGUGGCGGUCCGAGGUCUUGGGUCCACCAGUAGCCAAAUCACGUACGUCCUUUGAUCAGUUUUGGUCAUUUUUAUCUUUUUUUUAGGUUUGCUCUUUAUAGUUGCUUCGCGAAAGAAUAUAAUUCUCAGAUUUUGAGGAAUCAAACAAUUUAACUAAAUCUAUCCUCCCUGAUAAUCGUGUGCGUCCUUUGGAUCAGUUUUGGUCGUUUUUAUUUUUUUUAAGUCUGCUCUAUAUAGUUGCUUCGCGAAAGAAUAUAAUUCUCAAAUUUUGAAGAAUCAAACAAUUUAACUGAAUCUAUCCUCCUUAAUAUUUAAUUGUAUAAAUUUCAAUCUGUCCAUUUUUCUGUCCGGCUCCCACACCAGCUUAUGGUCUGCUUCCACACCGCGUCCUGGACCUUGAGUGUCCUGACGACAACCCCGUUCAGCGACAGCGACGCGGCGCGGCGGCUCCCCGCCACCAGCUUGUGGGGCGGCACCCAGUCCACGGAGUCCUCAUCGUCGUCGAGCUCUGGCCAGUCCCCGUCGCCUCCUGGUAUGAUCAUAUACUUCAUGUAUAUAUACUCCAUCGGGUCAUAUACGUCAUAAAUCUAGAGAUAUAUAAGUCCAGACGGUAGUUAGAGAAAGACGGACAAAAAAUAUAGAUGGACAAAAGAAGAGCCUAAAAUUUUGCCUCUUUAUUAUUAGGUAUAUAUAUAUAUAUACAAAAUUAUGUAAUAAUACAGAUAUAGAUAUAGAUUUGAUAGCUUUUUUUUCUCCCGUUGCAACGCACGGGCAUUUUUGCUAGU
rnacentral:lncRNA from 1 species